rnacentral:lncRNA from 1 species
GCCCCGCAUCCUCGGGCCUGAGCGCCCGCCCACCGGCACGCGGAGGGGCUUCCUGGAACGAUUAGGCGGACCGUCGCCCCCAGGCUCCUUUCUCCCCUGGCGGAGUUUCUGCCCGCUGCGAUCUUCCCUAACUACCACUCUGCGGUCGCAGAAGACCAUCCAGAGGGGAGAUGAGGACUGGGAAGCCCGCUUGAGUGAUGCACAUCUGUGGCUUGUUACGAGAGCCGCGUGAAUUAAAGCAAGGCAGGGGACACCGCCCUGCCACUGCUUUCUAACCUUGAUUUUCAUCUUUCCUUCUCGGAUGGAAUCUAGAAGCCGCAGGAGUUUUCACUUGCGUCUGUGAUGGAGUUUCCCGCUCCCCGCCCCCCCGCACCAACCCGAGCUCUUUUUUCGCUUGGAGCCCGUAAGUUGCUAGAGGGCACCACGAUGGCUCUAGGAGCGCUGUCGGUGUUUUCUUCUGGAGGUGAUCCUGAAAUUUCCUCCCCAAAGCAAGCUCUGUUGCGAGGAGCAGGCUGGGGAUAUGUGCAAGUGAAUGUGUAUUCCAAGAGGGGGAUGAUACGCAGAUCUUUUGGUGUAUAGGAAUUAAUACUUUUAGAUUAUCAGUAAAAUGUAUACUUUCACUGGACUGAGAGAGAACAAGGCUUACGGUUACAUCAACCGGAUCAACAAAUAUUUAUUGUACUUGUAAUGAGUAAUACUUAGUCUAUUAUAUAAACAUAAAUGGAACCAUACCAUA